rnacentral:rRNA from 1 species
GACGAACCGUGCGAACGUUGUUCGGAAUCACUGGGCUUAAAGGGCGCGUAGGCGGCCGUGCAAGUCGGGUGUGAAAUCCCUCGGCUCAACCGAGGAACUGCACUCGAUACUGCUUGGCUAGAGUCCGGGAGGGGAUGGUGGAAUUCCCAGUGUAGCGGUGAAAUGCGUAGAUAUUGGGAAGAACACCGGUGGCGAAGGCGGCCAUCUGGACCGGCACUGACGCUGAGGCGCGAAAGCCAGGGGAGCGAAUGGG